rnacentral:rRNA from 1 species
UAAACGAUGUCGAUUUGGAGGUUGUGGCUUCCGGAGCUAACGCGUUAAAUCGACCGCCUGGGGAGUACGGCCGCAAGGUUAAAACUCAAAUGAAUUGACGGGGGCCCGCACAAGCGGUGGAGCAUGUGGUUUAAUUCGAUGCAACGCGAAGAACCUUACCUGGUCUUGACAUCCAGGUGCUGCAUGGCUGUCGUCAGCUCGUGUUGUGAAAUGUUGGGUUAAGUCCCGCAACGAGCGCAACCCUUAUCCUUUGUUGCAACUCAAAGGAGACUGCCAGUGAUAAACUGGAGGAAGGUGGGGAUGACGUCAAGUCAUCAUGGCCCUUACGACCAGGGCUACACACGUGCUACAAUGGCAUAUACAAAGAGAAGCGACCUCGCGAGAGCAAGCGGACCUCAUAAAGUAUGUCGUAGUCCGGAUUGGAGUCUGCAACUCGACUCCAUGAAGUCGGAAUCGCUAGUAAUCGUAGAUCAGAUGCUACGGUGAAUACGUUCCCGGGCCUUGUACACACCGCCCGUCACACCAUGGGAGUGGGUUGCAAAAGAAGUAGGUUACCACUUUGUGAUUCAUGACUGGGGUGAAGCGUAACAAGUAACCAAGG